GCUUAGACGUAAACCAAGGCAGACCCAACUGCCCGCCAGAGUACUACAAGCGAAAAGCUUAAAACUCAAAGGACUUGACGGCGUUCCACAUCACACUAGAGGAGCCUGUCCUAUAAUCGAUAACCCACGUUCAACCUCACCUGUUCUCGCACAACCAGCCUAUAUACCGCCGCCCAGCCCGCCUUGCAAAAGAACCAGAAGCGAGCAAACCAGCCCACACUAACACGUCAGGUCAAGGUGUAGCUAACGAACAGGCAGAGAUGGGCUACAUUUUCUACAAAAGAAAACCACCACCCGCACCAUGAAAUAAGUGCACAAAGCAGGAUUUAGCAGUAAGCCACGCAAGCCUGCGUUGCUGAACCACGCCCUGGAACGUGU
rnacentral:rRNA from 1 species